rnacentral:sRNA from 1 species
UGUAAUAGUUUGGUAACUCAAGGGUGGUUGGCUCACUGCAUAUAAAAGAACGCAGGCUACUAAGAGUACCGCGUUCUGUGAUAACGUCCCAAUUACCUGCUCUAUUAUGCAGGCCGGGGGGUGAUGCCUCUUGACAGUAUUCGAAGCACUAAUGUUUGCAAUUUCUUUUACUACAUUAGUCAUAAUGAUUCUGUCUUUUAACUAUAAAAAAUAACCCAUCCUUGAGUUAACGGCUCAGAUGGGUUAGUACACCACUAGCCAAUCCCCUUGUAGGGACCGACUAUUAUAUUGACUACUUGAUGUCGCAUCAUCAAGUG